rnacentral:rRNA from 1 species
CUGGUCUUGACAUCCACAGAACUUUCCAGAGAUGGAUUGGUGCCUUCGGGAACUGUGAGACAGGUGCUGCAUGGCUGUCGUCAGCUCGUGUUGUGAAAUGUUGGGUUAAGUCCCGCAACGAGCGCGACCCUUAUCCUUUGUUGCCAGCGGUCCGGCCGGGAACCCAAAGGAGACUGCCAGUGAUAAACUGGAGGAAGGUGGGGAUGACGUCAAGUCAUCAUGGCCCUUACGACCAGGGCUACACACGUGCUACAAUGGCGCAUACAAAGAGAAGCGAUCUCGCGAGAGCCAGCGGACCUCAUAAAGUGCGUCGUAGUCCGGAUUGGAGUCUGCAACUCGACUCCAUGAAGUCGGAAUCGCUAGUAAUCGUGAAUCAGAAUGUCACGGUGAAUACGUUCCC